AGAAAUAAUCAUGUUAAAAACAUAUUAAAACAUGGAUUUGGCACCCAAGUAAAAGGAUAAAAACGAGCUGGGUAAAGUGCAUCCCAGUCAGUUGUUCAGAUGUCAAGAGUCAGAUGCCAGUUAACAAACAAAACAGAGUUUAUUCCAAAGAUAAGCCAAAAAAUAACAUAAACACAGAAAGUAUCCUUGAAACACUUCACUUAUCAGUGUUUCAAGAGUAGUUUGGACAAAAAUAACUCAAAAACAAGCCACGCUAUUUUCCCAUGCUGGCAUUCAAUAAAAACUAAAAGACGCUUCAAUUCAGCUUUGGAGAACAAAUAAAGUUGACUGCAAGAAAAUAUGCAAAAUAAACAAAGGCUUGAAACCUUCCAGAAGCUGCAGAGUAUAACUGAAAGUGCAAAAGCCUCUUUUGGCUUCAAACCGUUUCUGAAAACACACAGCCUGCGGAUUUAAAGGGACAGUUCCCAAAAGAAAAACAGCAAACUGGCUUGAAAACAAACAAACUAGAAGAGCAGUAAACUGCUUCCACGGUGCAGAUAAAGCCGAAAGCUUCAAAGGGAUGAUGAAUAGCUGUCGUCAGGAGAAUCCAAGGUCAGGUCAGGAGGCAGCAGCAAAUUCCGAAAGGCAAACCAGUAGUCAGAAGCCAGGAGUAGUUGUCAGUCAGAGGGCGUAGACAGAAGCCAGGUCAAAUUCAAUCCAAAGUCCGAAGAGGGUGCAGUCAUCCAAACCAGGUCCACGAUAAGACACAGCAAGAGCCAAGCCAGAUGGUAUCAGCAGCUAGAAAUAGUAAUCAGAAUGCAGUCCAGGGAAACCCACACAGUUCCAUCCCUCUGCUGCAGAGCAGUCCCAGAUAACUUACAUCCGAAUCACAGUCCAAGUCCAGUCUUCACGGAAACACAGAGAUCCCAAUGGCACCUCAGCAACACCUUGCCACACGCAAAGUGUUGCUGAGGCGCCAUUGGGAUCUCUGUGUUUCCAUGAAGACUGGACUUGGACUAUGAUUUGAAUCUGCUGUUAUCACCUAGCUUGGCUCUCGCUGUGUCUUAUCGUGGACCUGUUUUGGAUGACUGCACCCUCUUCAGACCUUGGAUCGGAAUUUGACCUUGCUACUGCCUUCGCCCUGUGAUUGAUGACUACUAUCGGCUUUUGACUCCCGGCUUGCUCUUUGGACACCGCUGUUAUCUCCUGACCUGACCUUGGAAUCCCGGACGACGUCUUUUCACCAUCCUUUUGGAGCCUUCGGCUUUAUCCACAUUGUGGAAGCAGUCUACUGCAUUCUUAGUUUGUUUGUUUGUUUCCUGACCAAUUUGGUGUUUUCUUUUGGGAACUGUUCCUUUGAAAACUACAGAGCCGGCUGGCAGGGCUUGGACUCAGAAAGUGCAGUUUGCACUAAGUUUGUUUAGCUUUGUUUUUACCUGCUUGUGUUGCUGAAUAUUUUUGUUUGAACUGCUCUUGAAGCACUGAUAGUGAAGUGUUUCAAGGUUUUUUCUGUGUUAACAUUACCUUUUGGCUUAUCUGCUGAAUAAACUCUAUUUUUGUUCGCUAA